GAUGAACGCUGGCGGAGAGAAGAAUACAUGCAAGUCGAGCGAACAGACGAGGAGCUUGCUCCUCUGACGUUAGCGGCGGACGGGUGAGUAACACGUGGAUAACCUACCUAUAAGACUGGGAUAACUUCGGGAAACCGGAGCUAAUACCGGAUAAUAUAUUGAACCGCAUGGUUCAAUAGUGAAAGACGGUUUUGCUGUCACUUAUAGAUGGAUCCGCGCCGCAUUAGCUAGUUGGUAAGGUAACGGCUUACCAAGGCAACGAUGCGUAGCCGACCUGAGAGGGUGAUCGGCCACACUGGAUCUGAGACACGGUCCAGACUCCUACGGGAGGCAGCAGUAGGGAAUCUUCCGCAAUGGGCGAAAGCCUGACGGAGCAACGCCGCGUGAGUGAUGAAGGUCUUCGGAUCGUAAAACUCUGUUAUUAGGGAAGAACAAAUGUGUAAGUAACUAUGCACGUCUUGACGGUACCUAAUCAGAAAGCCACGGCUAACUACGUG
rnacentral:rRNA from 1 species